rnacentral:rRNA from 1 species
UACGUAGGUGGCAAGCGUUAUCCGGAAUUAUUGGGCGUAAAGCGCGCGCAGGCGGUCCUUUAAGUCUGAUGUGAAAGCCCACGGCUCAACCGUGGAGGGUCAUUGGAAACUGGGGGACUUGAGUGCAGAAGAGGAGAGUGGAAUUCCACGUGUAGCGGUGAAAUGCGUAGAGAUGUGGAGGAACACCAGUGGCGAAGGCGACUCUCUGGUCUGUAACUGACGCUGAGGCGCGAAAGCGUGGGGAGCAAACAGG